GACGAACGCUGGCGGCGUGCUUAACACAUGCAAGUCGAGCGGUAAGGCCCCUUUCGGGGGUACACGAGCGGCGAACGGGUGAGUAACACGUGGGUGACCUGCCCUCAGCUCUGGGAUAAGCCUGGGAAACCGGGUCUAAUACUGGAUAUGACUCCAUGACGCAUGUUGUGGGGUGGAAAGCCUUGCGCGGCUGAGGAUGGGCCCGCGGCCUAUCAGCUUGUUGGUGGGGUGAGGCCUACCAAGGCGACGACGGGUAGCCGGCCUGAGAGGGCGACCGGCCACACUGGGACUGAGACACGGCCCAGACUCCUACGGGAGGCAGCAGUGGGGAAUCUUGCGCAAUGGGCGAAAGCCUGACGCAGCGACGCCGCGUGAGGGAUGACGGCCU
rnacentral:rRNA from 1 species